rnacentral:lncRNA from 1 species
GAUGUGGAGAUUGGACGGCGACAAAGAGGCUCCCCCUGCGAGCAAUUUGCCGGACCUGAACUCCGUCGCCGACAAGGAUUCCGGCGAGGAGUUCCCUCCUCAACAGCCGCCGGAGAACUACCACCAUCACCAUCACCACCACCAUCAUCAGCAGAAGCAGCACCAGGAGCAUCACCAGCAGGGGCAGAGGAGGGGCUCCCCGGAGGAGCAGAGGGCGGCGAGGAGGAAGCGGAUCGAGAUGAUCCACACGAGGAGGAGGAUUGCCGCCAUGAGAUGACACCUCCUCAAGGAUCCCCCCUCCUCCUCCCUGAUUACUCUCACACAUACUACCUCUGCUGCUACCACACUAGUUAGGGUUUUUGGCUGUAACAUACCUUCCUCCUCCUCGCCGGCGACGGAGACGAACAAGCUAGGAGAAUCCGGUGGCCAAUCCUCACCCGCCGGCGGGAGGAAGGACUCCUACGCUUGAGAUUGCUUGCUCACUCGGCUCCUUGUUCUUCUUCUUCUUCAAUAUUUAUUCUAUCAAUAAAAGGUUUAUUAUUAUUUUUACGACGGAAUGGGCCAGGAAAAAUGGUCCAGAUGGAUUUAGUUACCAAUCAGCCCGUUAAGCAGAGUUCCUCAUCAGCCAAAAUCCAGCCUCACCGGACCCGGGCCUGAGCCCGUCGACCAUUGUACGGCCCGCGGGCCGAAGCUGAGCCUCAUAUGCUUAUUUUUCAGAGGGGGGGGGAGGGGGAUGGAUUAUU